rnacentral:rRNA from 1 species
CUACCUGAUCCGAGGUCAAAUUUUCAGAAGUUGGGGGUUUAACGGCAGGGCACCGCCAGGGCCUUCCAGAACGAGAUAUAACUACUACGCUCGGGGUCCUAGCGAGCUCGCCACUAGAUUUCAGGGCCUGCCCUCGUUAGAAGGCAGUGCCCCAUCACCAAGCCAGGCUUGAGGGUUGAAAUGACGCUCGAACAGGCAUGCCCUCCGGAAUACCAGAGGGCGCAAUGUGCGUUCAAAGAUUCGAUGAUUCACUGAAUUCUGCAAUUCACAUUACUUAUCGCAUUUCGCUGCGUUCUUCAUCGAUGCCAGAACCAAGAGAUCCGUUGUUGAAAGUUUUGAUUCAUUUAUGUUUUUUACUCAGAGAUUCACUAAAGAAACAAGAGUUUAGUUGGCCGCCGGCGGGCUGCUCCCUGUUUCCAGGGGGCCUCAGUGAAGAGGCCGGCCUGCGCCGAGGCAACAAAUAGGUAUAAGUUCACAAAGGGUUUCUGGGUGCGCCGAAGCGCGUUCCAGCAAUGAUCCCUCCGCAGGUUCACCCUACGGAA